UAAGGAAUCUUCCGCAAUGGACGCAAGUCUGACGGAGCAACGCCGCGUGAGUGAAGAAGGAUUUCGGUUCGUAAAACUCUGUUGUUAGAGAAGAACAGCGCAUAGAGUAACUGUUAUGCGUGUGACGGUAUCUAACCAGAAAGCCACGGCUAACUACGUGCCAGCAGCCGCGGUAAUACGUAGGUGGCAAGCGUUGUCCGGAUUUAUUGGGCGUAAAGCGAGCGCAGGCGGUCAAUUAAGUCUGAUGUGAAAGCCCCCGGCUCAACCGGGGAGGGUCAUUGGAAACUGGUUGACUUGAGUGCAGAAGAGGAGAGUGGAAUUCCAUGUGUAGCGGUGAAAUGCGUAGAUAUAUGGAGGAACACCAGUGGCGAAGGCGACUCUCUGGUCUGUAACUGACGCUGAGGCUCGAAAGCGUGGGUAGCAAACAGG
rnacentral:rRNA from 1 species